AGAAGCACAUCAUCUUCUUCGCAGAGACUGAUGAUGAGAUAAAGCAUGAGUCUCACUGGUUCAUUGGCGGUACUUCUCUGCGACGUCGUGGUUGCUCCUACAUUCGUUCACCUCCCGAGACUUAGCACCUCCAUCGACGGCGAGAAUGGUGUCGACAAGUCCAUCUUCCAUUACAGGAGACCGCGGAUUCUCUCGUGCUCGACUUUGGCCGGCCAUGGAAGAGCUUCGCUUGCCGUCUCGCCGCUCGGGCGGCGAAAGAAUGGCGGUUCGAGCGCGAUGCGCGGCUGUGCUGCUAUUUCUUCUGGAGGUAGUGCGAGUUUAUGGCAAGUCUCCGGAAGAGAUUUCGUGGUCGUGAAUCUCUAUCGCUUCGUGUGCGUUGAUAAUCCGGAAGAGGAGGUCGCGAAGCACCUCGCGUUCUUGACGGAUCUUGAUAUACACGGUCGGAUAUAUCUCAAUGAGCAAGGGAUUAAUGCGCAGUAUAGUGGGCCACUUGCAGAUGCUCGCUCAUAUUUCAAAUGGUUGAGAGAAGAUGACAGAUUCUCUGAUAUACUGAUUCAGAUCUCUCCUGCUCUUAGUAGGCAUGCAUUCCCGAAAUUGAAAGUGCAGUUUAAGCCCUUGGUACAGGUUGACGGAGGUAUUGCUCAUCUUCCUUUGCUUGACCCUUCCAUGAGAGCAACACCUUUAGUACCAUCUGAAUGGAAGGAACGAGUUGAAGGGCUAAGUAGAAGCUGUGAUGCAUCCAGUGGGAGUAUGGAAUCAGACUGCAUUAUAUUGGAUCUAAGAAAUGCAGGCUAUGAGUGGGACAUUGGCCAUUUUCGUGGGGCUAGGCGUCCUGAAGUGGACUGUUUUAGGAGCACUUCAUUUGGUCUAUCUGAGACGGAGAUCAACGAUUCAGAUCCCUUAGCAGAUGUUGAUAAAGAGAAAACAGAUGUACUUAUGUACUGUACUGGUGGUAUCCGCUGUGAUGUGUAUUCUACCAUUCUAAGACAAAAGGGCUUUAAGAAUUUGUACACCUUAAGGGGAGGCGUCUCUCACUAUCUUGAGAACGAAGGUCCCGUGGAAUGGGUUGGCAACUUGUUUGUGUUCGACUCGCGUCUCUCUCUACCUCCUUCUGCCUACAACCCUAAAUCUGCAACACAGACAUGUGACCCGCAGCAUGCUUUUAAGAAAGAAAAGUUCGCAAAAUGCUAUCUGUGCAGUUCAGUAGUCCAAGUGUUGAGACAUCGGAAUUGUGCAAAUCUUGAUUGUAACCUGCUUUUUCUAUGCUGUCCAGAAUGUGUAAGCAGUUUCAGAGGAUGUUGCUGUUCGACUUGUAUGCUUGCUCCUCGACUUAGACCUAUUUUACCUGGCCACCAGAGAUACAAAAAAUGGCAUCUUUAUAGAGAUAUGAAGAUACAACCAAGUUGAUACUUUAAGCUUCACGUGAGGUUAUUCUGUGGAAAACCUUUUGAGUGCGGCAUAUUUCUGGUUCUGUCUUGUUUCUGCUCAAAGGGUUGAGUAUUGGAGGAUCAUGAUCUUGCAGCACUUAUGCUACAGUUGGUUGGUACUAGCAAGAUGAUGUAGAUUAUCCAACAACUUUUCCGAGGUUCCAUGUCAUGGACUGUGUAUUGUCCUCAUCGUGGAUGAUUUUACACAUAACAAAUUCACGGUGAAGAACCAUUCGACCUUCUAAGGUCAGUCAUUGGCAUUGACCUUAAUUUCAUUGGACUUGAAUGCCCAAGGAACACAUCUCUUUGAAUCUGCUCUGCCAUUGCUUUGAAAGAUCAGCUUUUGUUACUCUCCUGUGUCAGUUGUGGCAAAUAACGUUAUUGUGUUUGG